rnacentral:rRNA from 1 species
CCCUUAGAUGUUCUGGGCUGCACGCGUGCUACAAUGGCGUUUCCAGCAAGUCUGCGAACCCGAGAGGGCCAGCGGAUCUUCGAAUUGGCGUCGUGAUCGGGACAGUCGAUUGCAAUUAUUUGACUCAAACGAGGAAUUCCUUGUAAUCGCGAUUCAUCAUAUCGCGCUGAAUACGUCCCUGCCCUUUGUACACACCGCCCGUCGCUCCUACCAAUUGAGCGAUCCGGUAAAUGUUUUGGAUUGGUGCCGGGGCGGCUAGCUGCCGGUCGCUACGAAAUUUUGUGAACCUUAUCGCUUAGAGGAAGGAAAAGUCGUAACA